rnacentral:rRNA from 1 species
GAUGAACGCUGGCGGCGCGCCUAACACAUGCAAGUCGAACGGCACCCCUCCUCGGAGGGAAGCGAGUGGCGAACGGCUGAGUAACACGUGGAGAACCUGCCCCCUCCCCCGGGUUAGCCGCCCGAAAGGACGGGUAAUACCGGAUACCCCGGCUUGCCGCAUGGCACCCCGGCUAAAGCCCCGACGGGAGGGGAUGGCUCCGCGGCCCAUCAGGUAGGCGGCGGGGUGACGGCCCACCGUGCCGACGACGGGUAGCCGGGUUGAGAGAGCGACCGGCCAGAAGGGGGGGGAGAGACGGCCCAGAGGGCUACGGGAGGCAGCGGGGGGGAAGGGGGCGCAAGGGGGGGGAGCCGGACGAAGCGACGCCGGGGGGGGGAUGAAGGGCUGCGGGGUGGAAACAUGUGUCAGCAGGGAAGAAGCGAAAGUGACGGUACGUGCAGAGGAAGAACCGGCCAACUACGUG